GCUCUGAAGACAAGUUACAGGACAUGAGAAGAAACCCCAGGUGGCCUCCCCAUCAGCAGGUGAGCGGGUAGAGUCCUGACCAGAUGCCAGAGCAGUUUAAGAUGUCACUUCAUCCAGAGGGCAGAGGACAAGCAGGAGACCAACAGAGGCCCAGUUGGUCCAAGGAGCACUGGGGUUCUUCCAGCUCACAAAUCCUACCAGCCUAUGAUUUCGAAGUUAAAAUCUCCAGGCACUGGCUGGAAGCACCGGAAGUCAGAGGAGGAAGAGAUGUGAGUGGGUUAGAACCUCAGGGAAGGCUCUGGGGAGGAGGCGGCUCUCCACGAGGCCGUGCGGGUGCCGCGUGCUUGUUGUGCAGGAGGUGGGAGGACAUUUAUGGGCAAGAAAAUGGGGCUGAGCAGAGGCUGUUCACGGUACAGGGAGGAGGAGGCCAGCAUCGCUGGAACGCGCUGUCUCUGUCUCGGACAAACGGGAUCAGACGUGUGAGGUCGUGGUGGUGCCUGAAAACCAGAACUGACUCCGUGGGAAGACUCAGAACCAGAUGCUCCAGCACCGUUAUCCCAGGGGCCUCGCCCACACCCCCAGAGAGUUACCCAUCCAUGUUGCAGCCCAUGGGGCCACAGAAGAGCAAGCAACAACCACCACCCAUCCCCAGCUGGAUCCAUCUUUUCCAUCACCAGUCGUUACCAGGCUCCUGCCAUGUGCCAUGAACAGUCCGGGCAAUGGAGACCUGAAGACCAGUCUUUGCUCAAGGAACUCAUCACCACAUCGGUGAGACAGGCCAGGAGGCAGCUGCAGCCAAACACUAAGUAGGGAGGUGGGGGGAGAAGGCAGGUUCCAGAAACAGCAGAUGCAGGGUGGGACGGGGGGUGGGUUCACGGAAACUUACUGGGAGAAAUGACAUCUAAGCUGACAUAGGCAAAAGAGGGACAUCCCGUUUCAUUCACUAAGGGUCUGCUCGGCACAUAGUGUGGCCAGAGCAGGGCCAGGUGGGCUUCGUGAAGACGAGUCAGGAUCAUGUCCACCACUGGAGCUGGUCACCUGGCAGGGGACAUAAGAUGAAAGGAGUCAUGUGUGAGGCAUCACCCAAGGGAAAG
rnacentral:lncRNA from 1 species